UUUAAAAAGUUGUUUUCUGUGUUUCCGCAUCAUAUUUCCAGGAAAAAGAAACUGAAAACUACAUAUGCAGGGUGGUGCCAUUACUCUUCUGUCUGUGACCAAGGAUGUAAGCUGAUGAUCUCCAUGCUAUUCUGCUGUGACUCUGUCACUCCUGACCUGACCUUCAGGAUACACUGAGAGUAUUCUGAGUCCUUCCACAGUGUCUCACACUAGUACUACAGGACUUUACCUACCUCAGAGAUGGAGUCACCAGAACUGCAGGGGACUGCAACAGCUAUGGGAAGAGUCUUGGAAUGAAUAAUGUUCAACCACAUACUUACAUUGGUCAUGUCAUUUGGGCUCAAAGAUGAAAGAAAAUGCACAAAUAAUGCCUUGAUUAAGAUACGUACCAACAUCAGGCUGGCAAGUUUGAUCACUAUUCCUGCCUUGUGAGGUAUCAUAGCUCCUCC
ensembl:lncRNA